GGAGGGGUGGCGGAGCCUGGCUGAACGCACCGGUCUUGAAAACCGGCGAGGGCGGCGACGUCCUCCGUGGGUUCGAAUCCCACCCCCUCCGCCA
rnacentral:tRNA from 1 species